UCCCUGCUUAGACAAACACCAAGCAGGAAGCUCUGGACAGGAAAAAAAUUCUAUCCGGAGAGCCACAGAAGAGAAUAGCUAACGAGGACGGUCAUUGUUGCCUCAUCGUCGCUUAACCAAAAUUGAGGCAGUUAGUCCUUUAACCCUUUCCAGUUGAUCAGAUCAUUUUCACAAGUUCUGCGUCGGGGACCUGGCCACUCUGGGAAUCGCGCUGCUGGGAACACCGGCUUUGAAAGUUAUUUCACAGCUCAGCUGAGUCCCCGGACAGUUUCACUAGCCUCUCUCUUGUGCCCUGGUUAUCGUGUACAGUUGUAGAUUCUCUGAGGUCUCCCAGAUAUUGGGUGCCUCCAUCCCAGGACAAGUGAUCAAACCCAAGUGAUUGUGGAAAGGCCUCAGGAGGCAGAAGAAGAGCUGAGCUGGUGAAAGCCUGCGACUCAGGCGUGACGGAUGCGGGAGUGGCCUCCUUCAAGUCCUGAGCCUUCCGUCAGACUGGGAUUUCGCCCCUGGGAGCAGGCAACAGGCGCACUGUUCCCAGGACACCUAGCACUCAUCAUCUGUGCCUGCACUGUUUAUUCACUCACACUCCUGAAUUCUUCUGCAGCCGAGUCAUAUCCUGUUCUUCAAUGAAAUCUCUUCCAUUUUACCUCCUUGGACUGGAAGUGACAGCAUUAUCUCUGUUUUACAGUGCAUGAAAUAUUUGCAGCCAAGUUGUUGGGGCCUGCUGAAGAAAUCGGACUAGAUUUGUCCCAGGAGGGAUGUAAAUGAGACCAAAUCAUAAAGGAGACGAAACUGUAGCCCAGGGACAUUGAGAGUACCUGUGAUGCUGUGGCCCCUGUGGCUGAGGCCUCAGCCCGCGCUGGGCAGGUCUCCUGGUGGAGCUGCUCCAGGGGCGGUGAGGAAGUACAUGUCAGAACGACCGAGAGCCCCCAUCAGGAUCCAAAACCAAGAAAGACGGUCUGGGGUAGACAAGAAGGAACUCACCAGAAUUUCUUGUAGGAUGGGCAAUUUUUAACAAAAAGAAGAAACUAGUACAAAAGUAUCUCAGCCACUGUGUGAAAGGAAAUGAAACUCAAGCAGUAGUCAAAAACAAAACAAAACAAAAAAAAGUUGUCAACAGCUGUUACUGAAAUCAAAAUGGAGAAGAUAAACACACAGCAGCCCCACCAGGACAUCUAAAAUGCAAAAGACUGAUGUAACAAGUACUGGCAAGGAUGCAGAACAAAAGGAAGUGCUCGUAGGACUGCAAGCCCUUGUACAAACCCUUUGGAAAAUGGACAGCGUCUCUUCAUGCUCAGCAUACUCACCCCUUAGAACCCUACUUCUGGGCGUUUACAGAACAGAAAUUUAGAUGUUUGCUCAGCAGACAUUUGUGUUAACAAGAAGCACUAAUGAGGAAAGUCCCCAACUGGAAACCACCCAGAGGUCCAGCCGCCGGAGAAUGGCCACAUACACUUCUCGGUGGAAGGCCACUCAGCAAUGAGAACAAAGAGACCACAGCAACAUGGGCCAAUAUCGCAACACCAGGCUCAAGAGGGUCUGAUUCCAUUUAGUCAGAGUCCCAAAGCAAGCAGAACCCACUUCAGUGCUAGGAGCCAAGAUAGGGUGACUAGGGAAGAAGUUGUUGACCAGAAAGGGGCACAGGCAUGGGGGUUGGCAGAGGAGGCUGGUGUUUGGAAAUGUUAAACAUGUUCACUCUCUGAAUUUGACUGGUGACUAUGGGCAUCAUGAUAGAUUUGUAAAAACUUAUUCAAGUGUACACUUGUAACUUGAGCAUUUUCCUUUAUGUAUUACAUUCUUCAGUCAAUAUGUUAACUAUGUUUGUCCAUGGUAGAAAUUAGCAAGUCAUUGAAAACUUACCUACAGAAGGUACAGGUGUUUAUUGUCAGCUUUAUGUUGGUACAGACAAUAAUUGUGGACCUCAUUUUCCAUUUUUAUAAAAUGUAGAUAAUAGUAUCUGUUUCACCAUAGGUAAUUCAGGUAAAAGCGUUUUGAAAAUGGUGAAGUCCCACACGAAUCACGAGGGGAAGAAUGCUUUGUCCCUUCUCCCAGUGCUUGCUUUCUGUGAGCACAGCAACCCUGGCCUCUCUCUGCCCCUCUUCAUGCCGACACAAGAGGGUAGCACUGAUGGGUGAGUUUGCAGGUACCGUGCAUCUUUUUCAAUAUUUCCUUCUUGGAAGCUGGCCUGUCUGGCAUAAAAGAUGACUACAUUUUGUAGAAGUUGGACACUUUCUACAGAUUUAGACAGAUAGUAAGUGACAGAGGGGGAAUUCGAACUCAGGUGUCUCUGACAACACAAUCAAUAUUGACUGUCUACUAAACAACAUUUAUGUCAUGGAGAGCUGAGUUGUAUGGCACAGGUGAGAAUACAAAAGGGAUUUGGGAAAGGGAGUGAUUCCUGAAGGGAUUAGUUAAGUAUGGCUUGACAGGAUUUUCGUAUUCCCAUGCUCCGGGGGUCAGUUCCUGUUAAGUUCUCCCAGUGUCAGCCUCAGGAGCCAGCAUGGCUGGAGUCAGCAUUUACCCCUGCUUGUCUACACUAGAAGUGUCUGUUGUUAGAGAAACAGAGCUAACAGAAUUGAGUCCCAGGGUCAUGUGCCAGUUUCUCUGCUAGGUUAGUUCCAGUUUGCAUUUACCUCUGUUGGUGUUUGCCUUUGAAUUCUUCUGGGCUUCACUUCAUAAACCUUUCUAAGGUACGAGAAGGAACAGGAAGUGUGAUUCCAGCAACUUCAGUGUGAGAAUGUGCAAAGGGCAUGUUAACAGCAUUUCAUAA